AACGCGAAGAACCUACCCUUGACAUGGAUGGAAUCCCGAAGAGAUUUGGGAGUGCUCGAAAGAGAACCAUCACACAGGUGCUGCAUGGCUGUCGUCAGCUCGUGUCGUGAGAUGUUGGGUUAAGUCCCGCAACGAGCGCAACCCUUGUCAUUAGUUGCUACGAAAGGGCACUCUAAUGAGACUGCCGGUGACAAACCGGAGGAAGGUGGGGAUGACGUCAAGUCCUCAUGGCCCUUAUGGGUAGGGCUUCACACGUCAUACAAUGGUACAUACAGAGGGCCGCCAACCCGCGAGGGGGAGCUAAUCCCAGAAAGUGUAUCGUAGUCCGGAUUGGAGUCUGCAACUCGACUCCAUGAAGUUGGAAUCGCUAGUAAUCGCGGAUCAGCAUGUCGCGGUGAAUACGUUCCCGGGUCUUGUACACACGC
rnacentral:rRNA from 1 species